AUACUUACUGGGGAGGGAUCUACUAUGAUCUGGAGGAUGGUUUUUUUCUGUUGGGCGGUCCCUUGCUUCUUUUCUCUAUGUGCUGACGUUUUGUUAUUUCCCCAAAUGUGGGAAAUUCUACUGCGUAGUUUGUGGUAGUUGGGGACUGCGUUCGCCUUUUUCGC
ensembl:snRNA U1 U1 spliceosomal RNA